rnacentral:misc_RNA from 1 species
GAAAUGCGAUAAAUAGUGUGAAUUGCAGAAUUCAGUGAAUCAUCGAAUCUUUGAACGCACAUUGCGCCCCUUGGUAUUCCAUGGGGCAUGCCUGUUCGAGCGUCAUUUGUACCCUCAAGCUCUGCUUGGUGUUGGGUGUUUGUCCCGUCUCCGCGCGUGGACUCGCCCCAAAGUGAUUGGCAGCCGGCGUACUGGUCCCGGAGCGCAGCACAUGUCGCGCAAACGAGUGCCUUGGUACGGCGGCGUCCAUAAGCCCCUCUCUCACGCUCUUGACCUCGGAUCAGGUAGGGAUACCCGCUGAACUUAAGC